rnacentral:rRNA from 1 species
GACGAACGCUGGCGGCGUGCCUAAUACAUGCAAGUAGAACGCACAGUUUAUACCGUAGCUUGCUACACCAUAGACUGUGAGUUGCGAACGGGUGAGUAACGCGUAGGUAACCUGCCUGGUAGCGGGGGAUAACUAUUGGAAACGAUAGCUAAUACCGCAUAAUAUUGAUUAUUGCAUGAUAAUUGAUUGAAAGAUGCUAUUGCAUCACUACCAGAUGGACCUGCGUUGUAUUAGCUAGUAGGUGAGGUAACGGCUCACCUAGGUGACGAUACAUAGCCGACCUGAGAGGGUGAUCGGCCACACUGGGACUGAGACACGGCCCAGACUCCUACGGGAGGCAGCAGUAGGGAAUCUUCGGCAAUGGACGAAAGUCUGACCGAGCAACGCCGCGUGAGUGAAGAAGGUUUUCGGAUCGUAAAGCUCUGUUGUAAGAGAAGAACGGGUGUGAGAGUGGAAAGUUCACACUGUGACGGUAUCUUACCAGAAAGGGACGGCUAACUACGUG